GACGAACGCUGGCGGCGUGCUUAACACAUGCAAGUCGAACGGAAAGGCCCUGCCUUUGUGGGGUGCUCGAGUGGCGAACGGGUGAGUAACACGUGAGUAACCUGCCCUUGACUUUGGGAUAACUUCAGGAAACUGGGGCUAAUACCGGAUAGGAGCUCCUGCUGCAUGGUGGGGGUUGGAAAGUUUCGGCGGUUGGGGAUGGACUCGCGGCUUAUCAGCUUGUUGGUGGGGUAGUGGCUUACCAAGGCUUUGACGGGUAGCCGGCCUGAGAGGGUGACCGGCCACAUUGGGACUGAGAUACGGCCCAGACUCCUACGGGAGGCAGCAGUGGGGAAUAUUGCACAAUGGGCGGAAGCCUGAUGCGGCAACGCCGCGUGCGGGAUGACGGCCUUCGGGUUGUAAACCGCUUUCGCCUGUGACGAAGCGUGAGUGACGGUAAUGGGUAAAGAAGCACCGGCUAACUACGUG
rnacentral:rRNA from 1 species